UACGUAGGGGGCAAGCGUUGUCCGGAAUUAUUGGGCGUAAAGAGCUCGUAGGCGGCUCGUUGCGUCGGCUGUGAAAACCCGCAGCUUAACUGUGGGCCUGCAGCCGAUACGGGCGGGCUGGAGUUCGGUAGGGGAGACUGGAAUUCCUGGUGUAGCGGUGAAAUGCGCAGAUAUCAGGAGGAACACCGGUGGCGAAGGCGGUGGUCUGGGCCGGCACUGACGCUGAGGAGCGAAAGCGUGGGGAGCGAACAGG
rnacentral:rRNA from 1 species